GACGUAGGUCCGCCAUCUAGAGAUAAACGACGAUAACAUGGCGCGCCCCUCCAAAAUUCAAAACGUUUGAAUGCGUUGUCAAAACGUUUGAAGUGCGUUGUCUUGCACGGUCGGCUAGUUAUGAUUAUACCUUGGUAAUAAGUGACAUUAAGUGAAAUAUUACGAGUACCUACUGUUUGAUUGGUUGAAUACUUACUACAUACAAACUCUUUCAUAAGGAUGACACACAUUGAAACAGAAAUUUGGAGGGGCGCGCCAUGUUAUCGCAGUUUAUCUCUA